rnacentral:rRNA from 1 species
AACGAACGCUGGCGGCAUGCCUAACACAUGCAAGUCGAACGAGACCUUCGGGUCUGGUGGCGCACGGGUGCGUAACGCGUGGGAAACUGCGCUUAGGUUCGGCAUAACACCCCGAGAGGGGUGUUAAUACCGGGUAAUGUUAUCGGACCAAAGAUUUAUCGCGUUUGGGUGGGCGCGCGUUGGAUUAGCUAGUUGGUAGGGUAAAAGCCUAACAAGGCGACGAUUCAUAGCUGGUCUGAGAGGACGAUCAGCCACACUGGGACUGAGACACGGCCCAGACUCCUACGGGAGGCAGCAGUGGGGAAUAUUGGACAAUGGGCGAAAGCCUGAUCCAGCAAUGCCGCGUGAGUGAUGAAGGCCUUAGGGUUGUAAAGCUCUUUUACCCGCGAUGAUAAUGACAGUACCGGGAGAAUAAGCUCCGGCUAACUCCGUG